rnacentral:rRNA from 1 species
GACGAACGCUGGCGGCGUGCUUAACACAUGCAAGUCGAACGGAAAGGCCCUGCUUUUGUGGGGUGCUCGAGUGGCGAACGGGUGAGUAACACGUGAGUAACCUGCCCUUGACUUUGGGAUAACUUCAGGAAACUGGGGCUAAUACCGGAUAGGAGCUCCUGCUGCAUGGUGGGGGUUGGAAAGUUUCGGCGGUUGGGGAUGGACUCGCGGCUUAUCAGCUUGUUGGUGGGGUAGUGGCUUACCAAGGCUUUGACGGGUAGCCGGCCUGAGAGGGUGACCGGUCACAUUGGGACUGAGAUACGGCCCAGACUCCUACGGGAGGCAGCAGUGGGGAAUAUUGCACAAUGGGCGGAAGCCUGAUGCAGCAACGCCGCGUGCGGGAUGACGGCCUUCUGGUUGUAAACCGCUUUCGCCUGUGACGAAGCGUGAGUGACGGUAAUGGGUAAAGAAGCACCGGCUAACUACGUG